rnacentral:rRNA from 1 species
GAUGAACGCUGGCGGCGUGCCUAACACAUGCAAGUCGAGCGUGAUUGCUAUGAGUGGAGACUUCGGUUGAAGCGAUUAGCAUGAAAGCGGCGGACGGGUGAGUAACGCGUGGGCAACCUGCCCCAUACACGAGGAUAGCCACUGGAAACGGUGAUUAAUACUCGAUAAGACCACAGCAUCACAUGGUGCAGCGGCCAAAGAUUUAUCGGUAUGGGAUGGGCCCGCGUCUGAUUAGCUAGUUGGUGAGGUAACGGCUCACCAAGGCGACGAUCAGUAACCGACCGGAGAGGGCGGACGGUCACACUGGAACUAAGGCACGGUCCAGACUCCUACGGGAGGCAGCAGUGGGGAAUAUUGCACAAUGGGCGCAAGCCUGAUGCAGCAACGCCGCGUGAGUGAAGAAGGCCUUCGGGUCGUAAAGCUCUGUCCUGUGGGACGAAACAAAUGACGGUACCACAGGAGGAAGCCCCGGCUGACUACGUGCCAGCCGCCGCAGUAACAC